CCUACGGGAGGCAGCAGUGAGGAAUAUUGGUCAAUGGCCGGAAGGCUGAACCAGCCAUGCCGCGUGAAGGUCAGUGCCCUAUGGGCGUUAAACUUCUUUUGUGCGGGAGCAAUAAUGGUCACGUGUGGCCAGACGAGAGUACCGUACGAAUAAGCAUCGGCUAACUCCGUGCCAGCAGCCGCGGUAAUACGGGGGAUGCAAGCGUUAUCCGGAGUUAUUGGGUUUAAAGGGUGCGUAGGCUGUGCGGUAAGUCAGCGGUGAAAUGCCCCCGCUCAACGGGGUGAAGUGCCAUUGAUACUGCCUGGCUGGAAUGCGGAUGCCGUGGGAGGAAUGUGUGGUGUAGCGGUGAAAUGCAUAGAUAUCACACAGAACACCGAUUGCGAAGGCAUCUCACGAAUCCGCGAUUGACGCUGAUGCACGAAAGCGUGGGUAUCAAACAGGAUUAGAUACCCCUGUAGUC
rnacentral:rRNA from 1 species